GACGGAGGAUGCAAGUGUUAUCCGGAAUCACUGGGCGUAAAGCGUCUGUAGGUGGUCUAAAAAGUCCACUGUUAAAGAUUGAAGCUUAACUUCAAAAAUGCCGUGGAAACUUUUAAAACUUGAGUAUGAUAGGGGUAGAGGGAAUUUCCAGUGGAGCGGUGAAAUGCGUAGAUAUUGGAAAGACCACCAAUGGCGAAGGCACUCUACUGGGCCAUUACUGACACUGAGAGACGAAAGCUAGGGGAGCAAAUGGG
rnacentral:rRNA from 1 species